AUGCAGGGGUCGUUUGAAACCCAGGUUUACAAUAUCCUGCAAAACAGAUGCCUACCCCCRAACCAUAAAGUGUGUCGGUGUCUUUUAAAAACGGACACUUACGAUUCAUUAACACAUAGGUCUUUKAAAUCCUAAUUUAGCUCAGAAUCUAGGUGUUAUCCCGGAGGAUGUAGAAUAUCAAAAGGGUAAUACUGUCUCGACACCCCAAUCCUGUUGUUUGAACCCACUACCUUUGUAAUCAAAUAUACCGUUUGUUGCAUACCGGAUAGCGCCCGGGAAAAAAACGUCACCCCUGCUCUGUAAACUCAUUCCUUAGUAUCUGGUGUUAGGGGCACAACCGCGGAACGAGUCUUGUGAAAAAGAUAAGUCCCCAUUCUGRUAGAACCGUUUUAGCYCAGCUGCAAUCCCACAGGCCUGCAAACCCCAAUAGUUAUCGGACUGAACAGUUAAAAAAAGAUCCUCUGGGAAUCCCGCCUAAUGGAGCUUUCUGAAGGAUAUGCAACAUUAAGCCAACUGCAUCCCGGGGAUAAAUUAUAUGGAACAGCCUUCAUUAGAAUGGAAUUCCGAUGAGCAACGGAUGGACACAUAAUUUUACGAGAUAUCGAUAUGUCAACUGUAUGUAUUUUUUAUGAUAAAAUGUACACCCGACAUCGAAAACCAUACACCCCUGGAGGGCAUGAUCGAAAAGGAAGGGGUACCCCCGGAACAUGAAGAGUAAAACCUUGAAUUCGGACGAUUUCCCCGCUUCAAAUGACAUUUCGGAGGUCUCUGAUUUGCGAUUGUUUGUGAUGGGCAGAAAACAGGUUAAGGACAACUCCGAGGCUGAAACAACAUUCAGUCAUGAUAUUCUAAAACAGGAAGACAACGAUUUUUACAGAUAUUCAGAAACGGAUGGACAAUAAUUAUUAUUUGUUUUGUUUUUUAAAUAUAUUUUUUUAGGCAAUACGUCAAAUGGACAUAUUCUUAUAAGUAAAAAUGUAUCUAUUUCGUAUAAAUACAGGUUAACAUUAUCUAAUGUCUGUAUGAUACCCAGAGGCUACCGGGCAUAAUUGAUUGGGAACCGACAGAGUUAGACGGGGAUUCUCAGAAGGAAACUGCGCCCGGUCCAUUACGUAGCCCUUCAACAUCACACUAUUUUCGACCGGACAGCCAACAAACAGGGGUACAUGCUGCAUUAGGGACUCUGAACGACUUCGGAAGAGCAGAUGAAACAGAUGCUAUUCUACGGUUUUGGACUAACGGCCUUACCCUAACUCCAGACACCAGUCAGCAGUCCCAGAACAGAUAAAACAAUAAUCGGUGAAUCRUUCCUUCCUCAUGGAACUUUUUGAAGGGGAGUUGAAUAUUCAAGGUGAUGUUUGUAUACAGAUAUAUAUUAUUUAAGAAUGACAGGUAUUAAUUCUUGGCAUUUACAUGUAUGUUUUUAAAAUUUUUAUGAAGGCUAUUUAUCCAAUGAACCAUUGUUUUAAUUCAAACUGUUUGUAAACAAUAGCUUCUUCCCUCGUAGGGUCUACUUGACCCGCUUAUUAAAUCAGACCUCUCAGACUAGAAAGUAUGAUUAGAAACCAUGGCCAACUAUAUUCAAUCUGUGAUUAGAAACGAUAAUUAGAAGCUAUGACAAAACUAUGAUCAAACUAUGAUAACUAUGAACAACUAUGAAGACA